rnacentral:lncRNA from 10 species
AGCCCAGGCAGGUUACAGAACCUUGCCACCGCCACAGGCAUAAGGGGAGGGGUGCGAAACGCAUGACUUGUCCAGAGAGGCCAGCAUUCCAGGGACAGGGAUUGUUGCCGUCUCCCAUUCCCGGCUUCCUCUUCAAGCCCACUCCCUCCAGUCCUUGUGUAAGGAUCCUACACCCAUUUGUGAAGACUCUCCCUUCAUGACUGAAUCACUACCUAAAAGCCCUACUUCCUAAUCCUAUGACAUUUGUGAUUAAUUUUAGGGGGACACAUUCAGAGCAUAGCACCCUAUAUUCAAUUUCUUAAAAAUUAUUUUAUUCACUGACAGCUUGCACCAUGAGCCUGGAAAAGCUGUGGACACUCAACGUCAGCCCAUGAAAACAGCCACGAGGUGGGCUAUACCCUGCAAAGCCACAGAGGCAGAACUGCCCAAGGCUGCUGGAUUUUGGACUUGCAUGGGGCCUGUAACCCCUUUGUUUUGGCAAAUUUCUCCCAUUUGGAACGGCUGUAUUUACUCAAUGACCUGUACCCCCAUUGUAUCUAGGAAGUAACUAGCUUGAUUUGGAUUUUACAGGGUCAUAGGCAGAAGAGACUUGCCUUGUCUCAGAUGAGACUUUGGACAGUGGACAUUUGGGUUAAUACUGAAAUUAGUUAAGACUUUGGGGGACUGUUGGGAAGGCAUGAUCGGUUUUGAAGUGUGAGGACAUGAGAUUUGGAGGGGCCAGGAGCAGAAUAAUAUGGUUUGACUAUG